UAUAACAAUAAUACUUAAAAGAUGGAAACAAACAAUAGUAACUAGUCAAAGUAUAUCAUAUUUUUAUAAGUUUGUGUUGAAAAACUUAGUCAAAUUUAGUAAAACUAAGGGAGAAACCAUAUUUUAAAAAUAUAAGUUUUACAUAUCUUAAAGUUACUUAUCACUCUUAGAAAUACAAGCUAUUCAAAAACUAGCUUAGAAACUUUAAUUAACGUGAAUGUUGGUAACCUUAUAAAUAUCACCAAUUAAGUUAUAAAUUUUCCAAAUAUUCAUUAAUAAACAUGAAUUAACAAGAAAAUGUUAAAAAGUAUUUAUAGUUUUAGAGAAAAUGCAAGUUUAUUAAACAUUGACGCAGAUGACAUCCACGGAGGUCGUCUAGUAGACUUCCAGAGAAGUCGUCCAUUUAGGUCAUUUUUGCAAUUAAAAUUUUACAAAGACUCUGUUGUAAUGAGUAGGUUAACUCCACAGACUAUGUGUUCAUGUCCAGGUUAUAAUCUUCUUGAGCCAUUGCAACAAGAUCAGCAUGUGUCGAACCUUCACUCAAAAAUAACAUUCUCGCUCCUUCGAAAUGAUCAACCACAAAAUUCCAACAUCCAUAUUUCAACAACCAUUCUCCAAACACUACAUAUAACUGACGCAUCA